rnacentral:rRNA from 1 species
UCAUCUUGACAUACCAGAGAACUUUUCAGAGAUGGAUUGGUGCCUUCGGGAGCUCUGAGACAGGUGCUGCAUGGCUGUCGUCAGCUCGUGUUGUGAAAUGUUGGGUUAAGUCCCGCAACGAGCGCAACCCUUAUCCUUGUUUGCCAGCACGUAAUGGUGGGAACUCCAGGGAGACUGCCGGUGAUAAACCGGAGGAAGGGGGGGACAACGUCAAGUCAUCAUGGCCCUUACAAGUAGGGCUACACACGUGCUACAAUGGCAGAUACAAAGGGCAGCAAACCUGCGAAGGGGAGCGAAUCCCUUAAAGUUUGUCUUAGUCCGGAUUGGAGUCUGCAACUCGACUCCAUGAAGUCGGAAUCGCUAGUAAUCGUGGAUCAAAAUGCCACGGUGAAUACGUUCCCGGGUCUUGUAACACACCGA